ACUUUUUUUCUACUCUGCCCCUAAUCUCACCAUUAUCUGCUGGAGAUCAAGCAUGGUGACAUUUGGAUCAUUAGUCACAUCAUUGCUUCAAAUGAGUCCAGUGAUCUAAGACAGUAUUUCCAAACUUGGUCACUAGUGGCAAUGAUAAAUGAAGAGUUUAAUCAAAAUUGAAAAUUCUGUCAAUUACUUACCCUCAUGUCAUUUUAAACUAAUUUAAGUGUCCUAUCUGGUUGGGUAAAUUCAGUACAAUGGCAGCAUUUAUAAUAUAUAUAAUUUUCAAGUUUUGGUUAAAACACUUUAGCAGCUAUAUUUCAUGGCAGACAUCAUUGCUUUCCUUUACUCUCCAGUCCAGUAGGUGGCGAUGUACUGUCACUGUAUUGAAUUUGCCAAAACAAAUGUUCAUUGGAGGCUUCUCAAUCAGAAGGCUAAGUCCUUGUAAAGCUGCAUAUCUUUGCUGCCACAUCUUCAAGCGCCUUUGAAGGCCAUCUCAAUUUGAAGCAUCCUUGUAAGGCAGCUUGUGUUUCAUGUCUAUUAUGCAGCGUUUUUCGAAGGAUGCAUCAAGUGUAUCCUUUGUGCCCUCCCAUCACCCAUAACAUCAUAUACAGUAAUGAUAAAGAUUUUUAAUAUAAAAUAUUUUUCCAAAGUUAUUUUUAAUAUAAUUUUUUUCAGUUUUAUUAAUCAGUAUUUAAUGAUAAGAAUUAAAGUGAAUAAAAGGGACUACAGAGAAUUAAACGCCGCAUCACGCCAAAUAAUUAAACUCAUCUACUCACUGGCCUGCUUUAACAGCCUCAUCAUGUUUAUAAUCACUCACUUGUAAACAUAAUUUUUACUACAUGAAGACUGAAGGAAUUGUUUAAGGCUUAAAUAAUUCAACUGUGAUGUAGUUUGUUCUUGUUCAAUGUUUCACUUUUUACUUCUGGCAAUUGCAUUUAGGCUUCAAAAUUCAUAAUACUGUUGUGUUCAUUUGUGAAGAUUCUUAUGAUUAAAAAAAAAAAAAACAUGUAAGAACAUGUUUCUCAGCAACCAAAAAAUUAUAAUAAUAGUAAAUUAAUAAAUGCUGGCCGACAAAAAUACACCAUCACUGCAGCACUCUGUUGGGAAGCAUCCUAUCUAAUUUUGUUAUCCAAAGAAGCAAGUAAGUCAUGGUUUUGGAACAGCAUGAAGGUGGAAUAAAUGAUGACAGUUUUAUAUAACAAUUCCAUUAGGUCAAAGCCAAAAUGGUGUGUUAAAGGUACAAUCAUCCAUCACUCACUCAAAACAAUGAAUGACAAAAUUAGUGCUCUCUUAGUAGCAGAUACUGGAUUGCGCCUUUUAGAUAGCACAUAUGUUUGAUAGGUUUUGGAAUGUUAAUUGUCUGUUUGAGAACCAUCAGCUUGAUUUACACAGCAUUUGGGAUUAUAUGUCAGUCGUCUAAAAAAAAA